UAUGCUCUGAGAGCUGUUUUAUGCUUUUAUUUUUGAAGUUGUUGCUGGUACUCUCAUCUUGUUGAGCACAAUUCCUUUUCAGUAAAGAUUCUGGAUACAUGUCUGUUGCAUGGAAUUGAAUGCUAGUCUACAGGCAAUUUUUAUACCUUAGAUCAAGAGAGGAUGCCAUUUGCAGGAGGGCUUGACACUUUUAGGGAGUCAUUUCAUGGCCUAAAAGAAUGUUAUAUGUGUGAUUGUAUGACUUUCGAUAAAGAAUAAAAAAACAGGAAUGAUUUGUUUGGAAUUUAAAACCUCCCUUCUACUGUGACUUUAUCUGCUGCCCAUUUGCAGGACUCUGAUAACUUCAGCUUCUUCUCCUACUUCAUCUGCAGGCUCUUGAAGUCUGUGGGAUGCCCAAGUGUGUACAGAAACACGGAAAUAGCACAGUCCCUUUGGUUAAGAAUAACAUGUCAGUUUUCUUUUCUUGCUUUUGUGUGCUCUCUGGAGCUUACCCAUGCAUGAUGUUCCAGUUGACUUCAAAGGCAAGUCUAUGGUUGGAUUAGCUCCACAGGACAGAAAGCAAGGUAAGAAAUAGGCUUAGUGCUUUCAAGGCCCACUGGGGAGCUGAUAGAGCCAAGCUAUGUGGCUUCCAAAAUAAUUUGUUCAUUCAUGUCCUCAUGGAGGAACAGGUAAAUUUGCAUAAUCCUUUCUGUUUUAUUGUUACCAUUAAAAUUUCUACAUUUUCAAAAUGAUGACUGGACAGUGCCCAAAAAGGUUGAUUUAUAGUUAUAUAAUUCCUGCACUUGAGGCGUUUAAAAUCUAAUAAAGGAGAUAUAGAUAUAAUAAAUUUAGAGUGAGAAAAUACUACUAAAGUCAUGAAGACAUGAAAUAUUCACGUUGCAGGGUAAUUUUAGGUAUUAAAAAAGGGAUGGGGUAGAGAAUGGUGUGUACUUGAAUUGCAACUGUACUAAAUUGCAAUUGUACUAAAAUUGCAACUGAGGGACUUUUGCUUUCCAGAUAUUGCCUGCAAAGGUGGACUUCUUACAGAAAGUUAGAGCCAGGCAUUACUGAGGGAAGGAAGAGAGAAGAGGGGGUGAGCUGAAGGCAAUAUUGUAAACUCGGGGCGCACACUGAGAGGAGGUUUAGAUAUAAUUGUACAAAAGAAAAUAACAUCAAAAAAUCCAACACCAUAGAAGGAGGGUUCAGAAGGAGUCAGGGGUAGAGAGAAAUUACAAGUCGUUUGAACGGUUUGCUUCUCUGAUGGAAAAGUGACACGUCGCGCAGGACCGAGGGAGGAUACAGGGUCCCAGCAAACCCUAGAAAGGGGACCAAACACGCUUAUUGCCUAUUUUUUCUUUUGUCUCUCAAAUGAUGAAGAAAGGGAAUGAGCUUACUUCUUUGUACUUUGAUUGAUUCCGUUUUAUCUCCAGGAUCACAAGUAUGUGUUACUCACACUUAUUUAAAGCUAAGGGCACUUUUUAAACUCCCUGGCCCCCACACACCAGGGUUCUUCGAGGUGAUUUUAUUCAGCGUGGUCUAGGGACACACCACAGAGAGAGACUGCAGUCUGUGUGGUGACCAGCUUCGAGUCGGCACGACUGAACCUCAGAGUGCGUCCCGACUGCGGUUAUGUUCUAGUGAAUACAGCAGAAGCAGAAAUGAAUCAUCUGUCUCCAGAAAUUGUCUUUCUGACUUUGCUUUUGGAGACAGUGGCAUGUGUACUAAGACUGGAACAAUCCUGCUUUGAUUUGUUACCAAACACUUGGUAUUGGACUUUGAAAGGGAAGAAAAAUAUUGUGUGACUCAAAUGAGCUUUUCAUUCGAAAAAGAAAAGGCUUUUUGUGUAGCUAUCUUUUCUAAUUAUUAUCAGCACUUAUUUCUCUCCUAAGACGUACACCAUAAUUUUAUGACCUGGGAACUGCUCAAUAUUUGUUUCAGUAUUCACCAAACAUUUUGAUUUCAUUUCCUGCAUCUUAGAAAGUAUAACUGGAUUAUCUGGUGUUGUUUUCUCUUCUCUGGAAAUUCCAGGAGAGGAAACCAUCAAGUGGAAACACCUCAUUUCAUAGUUAUAAUGAGCUGAACUUGGGGAAGGGACUUGUUUAAGGUCACACAGCUAGGUAGUGACAGAGCCAGGAAAAACUCAAAUCUAUUCGUACCCAGAUGAGCCUCUUUUAACUACACGGCACUGUCCUUACAAGUGUAUCAAACUGUAAACUACAGACAAAUACUUGCCAUUCCCCAAUAAAUCAGAUCUCAUGUUGGAUGUUUUAUAAUGUGCUGCACAUCUAUUGCAAAAAACAUGGUUAUACAUUAAGUAUAAGCAUUCUGAUAAUGACUGACAGGGCUUAAAUAGGCGUGAAAGAAGAGAUUUUUAAAAAGAGGGUUCUUAUUUAAGAAAUCACCUUUUUCCUGAUUUCCUUAGGAGAUUUAAUAAGAAAACAAUGCAUCUGCCUUCAUCGUAUUCCAUGUUUUGCUUGCCAAAGAGCGGCCAUCCUAGGACCGGGAUGAAUUGCCCAGAAAGUUUCUCAAAUGUGAAUGUGGUAGGAGAACAGAAAGGAUGGCUGUGGUCAGGGUGGCACUCAGACCCUGACGGUCAUGGGUUCAAGUGCAUCCCACGUUGCUCCUGUCCUGAAUGUCCCGUCCAUGGUUCUGGUUCUUCUCCAUCGUCAUUUUGCUCUCUCUCCUCCCCACUCAUUCAAACCUCUUGAACCUUUGGUGUAUGUGUCCUUUGCUUUACAAUCCCUAGCACCUAGUGUCUGCUCUUCAUGACCGACGAAUUUAUGGUUCCUGAAUCUCUAAAUCUGGUGGGUUCCUUGGUUCUUUCCUAGAUCUAUGUGUGCACUUGACCUCCCUGAUCACUCCCACUUCUGCGAGUUCCCUGCCCUCCUGGCACCACACCUUCCAGAUGGUCUGCUAAUUAUUCCUUCUCUGCCUCUUUUCAUGGAUUUCUCUCCUUCCUAUUCCGUUCAUCCUCAGCCCACUGCUCCUGUCGCUCCGCACACUCCCCCAGAGCACUCUCCUUCACUGUCAUGAUUUGCAGCUACUUGUACAUUUUAUAUGUAGUUCAAGUCCCCGAUCUGCAAUUUAGAUUCGAACAUUUAGCUGCUUGCUGUAUCUGUUUAGCACCCUGCAACCCAUGUGCAAACUGACCUCGUGACCAUUCCCCUGAACCUGAUUUCCCUUUCUGUGUUCUCUGGCUCAUUUUGUGGCACUGCUGGGAGUCAUUAUUGGCUUCUCUCUUCCCACUUUUGUUGUUUUCCACAUCAAACCCAUUACCAGGACCUGAUGAUUUUCCAUCCUAAGUGUUUCUUGAAUCUAUCUAUAAUCCCCAUCACCAUUGCCACUGCGGUGGUUCAGAACUACUGCCACUGCGGUGGUCCAUCUCUUGCUGGGACAUCUGCACCUUUCCUCCAUCAGCCUUGUCACCAUGAGGUCCACCUAACUUACAACCCACAGUAGACUUGCCCCUCGCAAGCUUAAAAUCCUCUAGUGUUUCUGCACCUCGACAGAUAAAGUGCAAAAUGGUCUCAAGCUAAAUUCUAGCCUUAAAUCUCUGCUACUUUCUGCCUCUCUCUAGUCUUGUCUCUAAGAAUUCCCUGUCUUACACUUUGCUCUCCAGCAAAAUGCAACAGCUUGGAGUUCUACGUAUGGACAUAUCACUUCUUUGCAUUUACUGUCUACUUUGCCUCAAGUCACUUCUCACUCUUCUUCCCUGGCUUGCUCCUAGUUUUCCUUUAGUCAACACAGUGUGUUCCCUUCUCUAAGUCUGUUCUAAGUCUGUCCCUUCCUGAGUCUUGUUCCCGCCCCACCCCAACUAUCCUCAGCCUUGUCAAUACCCUGUGCAUAAUCCAAUCAUUGCAUGAACUCCAUCAUUAUCCAAUUUGUGUUUACACGAGCUAUACAGCCCCCUUGAUAGCUGUUUGCAACCUAUUUUCCUCAACUAAAUUCAGACUUCUUUGAGUAAGUAUUUGGUACAGAACUGAGAAAAUAUUUGUGCCACUGCUGAUAAUUGAGUCAGGAAGCCAUAGGAUGCUUUUAUAUGUUAACCUUUAAUUUUAACCUUUCAUUUCUUCUGAGGAACAGCAAUUGAGUCACAGAUAUACAAGUAUCUUUAUUUUAUCUUCUCUCCCAACACCCAUACUUUAUAUAUAUUCUACCCCCCAAAAGAAGCUAAAAUUUAAAAAGACGAAAUUAUUGGCUUGCAUGGAAGUAUCGUAGUGUAAAAAUGUCAUGAGAAUCUGUUUUCCAAAUUUCCAGAUCAGCCCUCUUACUAUGUUAUGACAUUGUUUCUCUGUGAUUUUUAAACAUUUAAAGGUAUAUUUUAUAUAUCACUUUUAUUCAGUCACCUACCUAAAAUCAUGGAUUUCCCAGGGUGGCAAGUUAUGACAGAGAAAGGCUUUUUAAAGCUUUAUUUAUCCACAUCUCAGAUAUAUAUUUUUUUCGAGUCAAGAAGUAGCACACUGAGCUUUUCUGUCCCCAAAAAUACUACACAUGCUAUUUUCUCAGGAAGAAGAGUAAGGUUUAUUUUUUGUUAAUGAAAUGCCAAACAAGCCUAGCCAACUUGCCAGGCAGAAUUAAAUUGGAGCAUCUUUGGCAGUAGGUUGCGCGGCUCCAUCCAUGCAAGUGUUUUGUGAAAAUGUAGCUUAAGCAUUUUUUAAAAAUUGGCCAGAUUCUUUUUAGGAUAAAGUUGGGACAUUCAGAAAUUUGGGCAGUACACACAAUGUGAUAAACAUUUCCAAGUCUGGUUAAAUAAGCCCCAUUAUGAUCUUGCUCAUUUAAUUCAGGCCUCUUCUUCCACACUCAUCACAAAACUUUAGCCCUUGGCCAGUGUGAGUAUGAAUGUAGUGACUAAGUUCAGAUUUAAAAACAUUGUUUGUAAAGUCAUUCUAAUUUUAAUUUAUAUCCUCUCUACCUAUGUUUUACCAUACUGUUUGUUCACAGUCUCUUUUUUUCCUCCUAAUAUGAGAGAGAGCAUAAACACACAUCUUAAGAAAUCCCUUAGGCUAGCCUCCAACAAAGAGUGGUUCCCAAAAAGUACACAGCAAAAUGAAAAGCAGAUAUAUAGGCAUAUUCCAUUUUUAAAGUACAUUUUUCAAGUUUUGUUAACAUAUUGGCGUGUGGCAAACUUUUUCUGUACCAAGCCAGUCAGUGAAUAUUUUAGCUUUGGUGUGGAAUAUGGUUUCUGUUAUGAAUACUCAUCUCUUCUGUUGUAGUUCAAAAGCAGCCAGAGACAAUCCAUGAGCAAUUGAGUGUGACUGUGUUCCAAUAAAACUUUAUUUACACAAACAGGUAGCAGCCUGGGUUUGGCCCACCAGCCGUUGUUUGCUAGCUCCCCACGUAGCUUCACAUUACUCCCUAUGACUUUCGUUAGUAACUCUUUGGUUUUGAUUUUUAACAUCAUGGAAAUAAAGAUGUUACUGCUUUAUUUCCAUCAUGAGUAAAAUUUUAGGUUAUAUUACAGAUGAACACAUGGAUUUUUUGGAGGUUAGAUAAGAUUGGUCAUCUUUAUGAUUUUCUCCCUAUUUGAAAUUGUUGCUCGCACAGUUGUAAGUUUCUUGAGGGGAGAGAAUAGAUGAUAAUUCAUCUUAUGCUCUCACUGUGACCAAGUGCAUGGUUCAUGGCACAGGUCAUAUUUUCAAAUGAAUGAAUGACCAGGGCCCUGCAUGCUAACUAUAGUCCGUUGGAUCACCUUGUAGACAAAAUGUAAGACCCAAACUUUUAGUCUCUUGGCUCUUUGUGCACUGUUGUUUCAAAAGAUCCCAGGUGAGGUGCCCUGAUAAAGGGCUAAUGAAUCCUGCCAUCAGUGGUGGUGAAAGUAGGAUGUGCUCUCACCUGAGCUCAUAUUCUGAAACAGCCACCUGUGAGAUUUUCAUGGUGAGCAUGUAUGGAUAAAAACCUAUCCAUGAUGAGGAGAGGGGUACAAUGUUUACUUCUAGUGCUUCAGAUCUGUCGAGUUGAAAACAAAAAGGAAAAUCCUUUUUGCAGUGAAUGUGAACUGAGAGCACAAUGGAUUUACCAAUAUUUUCUGUUCCUUAGAUUUGAGGUUAACAUGGGCAUAAUGUCCUGGAUGAAGCUUUGGAAGUACUUGUGAAGGAUUCUCAAGCUGAUGGAGUGAGUGAUGGAGUGGGUUGCCAACGGUAGUUACUCCACUCAGCGCAGAAUGGCUGCAGGGAAUAUAUUCAGACAUCCCCAAAGAAGUCUGCCCAGGGUGAAACAAAUACCUUUCAGGUUUAAAUCAGGAUGAAGUUGUGCUUAAUAGCCUAUGCUUAAUUCAUUCAGAAACUACACGAUUUUUGUUGCUAUAUUUUGUUAGAAAGGAAGGAGAGGCUGUUUCUACAGGUGUCUUCAAAAAAUCGAUACUGAGCCACGGAUUAUUGGAUCCCACAGAAGCAUGGAGACUUGGCAGUGAAAUUCUUCCAAAGCAUUCCAUCCGUGCAGGCAGACGGUGUUCCUAGGUUUGGAAAUAUAAAUCCCGUGGGAAGUCAGCUGAAGAACAUUUUAUGCAUCGCUCAUCCUAUUAUGAGCCCUGUGCUAUUCCAUCUCUCUACAAGAUUGGCUGAAACAACAACAACAGAAAUUAGUUACAGUUUGUAUUCUUACUUUGGAUCACCUAGUUAAUAUCCUGACUCUGAUUACACCCAAAGACAGUGUUCUUAUAAAAAGAUACUCUAUUAGAAGGAUGCUAAUGCAUUAUCAAUAAAAUCACAGGGAAAAUGAAACAUUUUGGAUAUCACAUCUGAUGAGUUGGCAGUUAAAGAACAGAAACAGAGCAAUAAGACUGCAUGGCUGCAUUUUCCCAGUGCCACCAACUGGGAGUUAAGCUGACUAACAUUUUGAAAGCCCAGCCCAUUUCGUUCACAGCAGGAUGGCAGUGGGUGACUGAUCGUCCCCGCCAGCUGGCUAAUAUCAUAAUUAACAAAAGUUGCUACUACGUCUGCAAAGUUUAAUGGAAAAAUUUGCCAGUGAUACGAUGGCAUUGUCACAGAGAUCACAAGGGACACGGAGCCGACUUUUGCUGAAGGUGGAACGGCAGAGCUGUGUAGACAAGAUGAGAAAUUGUGAACUUGCUCAGCCAAAGGAGGCUAAUAAUGAAGGGGCCAGGGAAGGAGGCCAGUGCUGCAAGGGUUAUCUCACAACCUCAGAUGCUGGAUAAGUCGAAGGAGGCAGAGUCGCUUUGGGAUGACAUUCAGAAAGGCUGGAGUGAUUAUUUGGAAGAGAAAAGCCUGCCUAUUCUUUCCAAGGUGCAUGAAUAUUCCCUCGACCUGCCCAUCCAGUGGUCCAGCAAUGAAUUAUUAGGAACCUGCCAUAGACAAAGGAUGCACUCGGAGCCCCACCACACCUAAAGCCACGCUUUGAAGGAUCUGCCAAGCUCACUUUUAAUCAUGAGAAAGAAAUUACCCACAUGGAGUCAGCAGAAAAUGAGAAAGUAGAGCUCGUGCUGUGAAUAAUUCCAGCAAGUGCCAAGGGGCUAGUUGAGGAAUGGCUUCAUGAGGUGAAUAUCUUUAGCUUGUACUUAGGGUUUGGUUAGCGUAUAAUCAUUUUCUCUUCUUGCAGCAACGACUAUCAUAAGUGUAUUUCCUAACUAAAGAGUGCUUUGAGCAUGUGUCUGGAUGUUGACAGAUUUAAUACCAGUGUUGCCCUUGUUGUUAUUUACUAUGACUAAUUUUACAUUUGUGAAUAUGCAGAAAUCAAUUUAGGCGCAAAAGCUCUCAGAGCCAGUGACUGUCGCUCGCUGUCCGUGUUUGUGUGUAUCGCUGUGAGUGCGCGUCCAGUAAUUCAUGUCUCCGUGUACGUAUGUGCCCUUGUUUUCGUCUUCUCUCUGUUGUGAACGUAGGUUGGGAGAAUUAGCCAACCAGUGGGUUCUCAGACGUGGUCCAAGGCUUUCAUUUGAUUUUUGGAACAGGAAAAAAAGAACGUGUCACAUUGUGAUUAAUGGUCAAUCUGAAUUUUCAAUUCAUAUGAAAGGAGGAAGGGGAAGGGAUAUGUGUCAAAUGACAAGACUAACCUUUUCCCUUUGGGACGAGCAUGAUUCAAAUUAAACAUCACUUUCAGUGUGAAAUUAGUUUGAAUUCUUUUUUCUCUCUCUCUCUUUUUCUUUUUCUUUUUUUUUUUUUUUUUUUUUUUUUUUUGGUGCCUAGUUUAACUCCUUGUUGGCUGCUCUUUCAGAGAGAACCCCCUGCCAUCCCAGCUCUGUGCCUGAAUUUAUUCCCAGUAGCCCAUAGUUCCACUUCCUUUGUUUCCUUUUUCUAAAGAUCAGGUCCCAGAAAAGAAUAUUGUACUAUUUCAAAAGCUUCAUUACUCACAAGAUAAGAUUCUCCCUAACACAUGCUAUUUAAUGUCUCCAUAAAUGAAAUAAAUACAUGAAUAAAUAGCAUUCCUCUUUUUUAAAAGAUAAUUUUGCCAGGGAGGAAGGAGAAAGAAAGAAAGGGAUCCUUUUGGAAAGAAUUUAGAGUGCCCUCUGCUUUGUGCCAGUUUUUGCUGGCUGAGUAAGCCACAGAGGAAAAACAGCCACAAAAACCCCCAACUUCCCUCCUGAUCCUCUUGUUUCCCACAUAACUGAGUCACAGGAUCGCCAUGCCAACCUGGAGCAAUCUGGCUUUAAGCAAGCAUGUGCCUGGACGUUUCGAAACCGCCCAUUAGUACUGGUUCAAAGGACCCAGGUCCCAACUUGUAGAAAGAACCUGCUGGCAGAAGAAACAGUGGGCUGCUUUCGCAUCUGUACAAAUCCUGACUCCACAGUGAGGCAUCAUCAGAUGUGAUGUGUGACUGACUCCCUUCCUGGAGUUUGGUGGCUUAUGGGGAAAGGAAAGGUAUUGAAAUGGCUAAGAAACCGUGCUAUUCUUCCAGUAUAUCUUCAAAAGGAAAUUGUUGGGGGUCUUUGAUCCCUUCCCUACAGGAAGGAGAGGUGUGGCAGGGUGGAGAGCUGAGCCAGCAGGGGUGAGGUAUGGUAGAGGAGGUGAGCCACUGGGGGGUGGCUUGUGGGGGGCAGAGCUCAGCCAGCUGGGGGAGGAGGCAGAGGUGGAGUCGGGAGGUAGAAGGUGGAGGCAGAUGAGCAGCUGUGUUUAUUUUAAAACAUAUCAUUUAACCCUCACCUAAAAACAAAUUGGAGAGGUUUGAGAGUGCAUUAAUCUGGACCCAAUUAGCAUGUCUUUCUCCUUCAAAAGUGCAACCUGAGAUUAAUGAAUAUAAACUAGAGUUUCAGAUGCAGUGCUUAAAUCAUUUGCAUGUUUCCUGCAUGAUAAUUGAAUUUAUGUAUGCACUUCCUUUCAUUUAACUAUUUCCAGUCUCUUCCUUGUGAUUCACAUAAAUCAAGAUUUCAUUGUAGUGACCUCUAUGGAAAUAGCUUGCCUAGACUUUACUCCUAAUGAGGGAUUCAAGUUCUUGUUUCUUUUAUGUGAGUUUGAAUAAUACAAUUUUUUUUUAAAGGAGACGGCAGUGCUUAAUAGUCUGGAAUGCUGUUUCAGGGGUUGGUAAAUAGGCACCCCAAGUUUAUUUAUGAAAAGACAGAAAAACCAUGGGACCUUAUAUUAUUGAGUUUUCAGUGGUCCCAAAGAAUUGGGUUUCGGCAUGGACUUAAAAGUGUGUUAAUAAUACCAAGAGCAAAGUCACUUUAAUGUAGCAUAAAGAAUGAUCUUGGUCUUUGGACCUGAGUUAUUUAGAUCACUGAGAGAUUUCAGUGCACAGUGUUGGAUAGUAAGAUAUUUGCUUGUGUAGAUGGGGGUGGGGAAUGGUGUCAGCCUCUAUGAAAGGCUAUAGAUGAGCAGUUAGCACUUGUGGUUCCUUAGCAUGCCAUCCCUUUUCUUCCCUUUUUGUUACUUGGGUGUAGAAAAGGCUUAGUGGUGACAUAAUGCAAACAGGUACUAAGGUCUUUGCUUUCCACCUGUCCCUAAAUGAAAAGUCUAAAAGCCAGCAGUGGGUAUGUAAGAAAGCUUUCUGGGGAAGAUGUUGCAGCAAGAGGCUUGAAAUAAUUCCCUGGUUUCAGUUUGUAUCAAUGAUUCGUCUGUCUUCUGUCUUGCCUUAUGUGUUUCCAAGUUCAAUGUCAAAGUGAUGAGCUUUUCUCCUGGAAUUCUCCCCAGUGUCUUUUGUUUGGUGAAUUCGAUGGUUGAAUGUUGCUGAGUGUCUCCUGGUCUUGUUUCCUGGUCCUUGUAGCUCAGAAUGUCGUUGAAGGAUAAAAAUCUUGUGAAUUUGUGAUGUCACAAAUUUAAGUGUGCUUCCUGUCACUUGUGUGUAGUUUAAAAUGUUCCUUAAUGUAGCAUGAAAUGAUUGGUUAGCUUUGAAAUGGUUGUGAAGUCAUGUGAAGAAAAUAAGUUUUGCAUCCGACCAAGAUAAAUUCA